rnacentral:rRNA from 1 species
CGUAGGUGGCAAGCGUUGUCCGGAUUUAUUGGGCGUAAAGCGAGCGCAGGCGGUUCUUUAAGUCUGAUGUGAAAGCCCCCGGCUCAACCGGGGAGGGUCAUUGGAAACUGGAGAACUUGAGUGCAGAAGAGGAGAGUGGAAUUCCACGUGUAGCGGUGAAAUGCGUAGAUAUGUGGAGGAACACCAGUGGCGAAGGCGACUCUCUGGUCUGUAACUGACGCUGAGGCUCGAAAGCGUGGGGAGCAAACAGGAUUAGAUACCCUGGUAGUCAAGGGCG